rnacentral:lncRNA from 1 species
CUUGAGGAGUGUUGGAUCUGCCACGUCAAUUAAUGAGGCGUGAUCCAAUGCUCUGUGUUUUUCUGAUUUUUAAUUCUUUUUCUUUUAUUAUUUUUAAUUGUUUUUUCUUUUAAAAUUCAUAGUAAUUUUAUUUUUCAUCCCAAAAAUCCCAAAAUAAUUUCUAAAAUUCUCUUUUAUUUUUCUUCAUCUCAUUUUUAUUUUUCCAUAUUUUAUUCCACGGAUUUUGUAUUUUUCAUGAAUUUUCUAUUUUCUCUUUUGCUUUAAUUGGUUUAAAAUACUUUUCGUCAUUUUUAAAUUCUG